rnacentral:rRNA from 1 species
AGAGUUUGAUCCUGGCUCAGGAUGAACGCUAGCGGCAGGCCUAACACAUGCAAGUCGCGGGCAGCACGGGUAGCAAUACCUGGUGGCGACCGGCGCACGGGUGCGUAACGCGUAUGCAACCUGCCCCCAUCAGGGGAAUAGCCCGCCGAAAGGCGGAUUAAUGCCCCCAUAGGCCCAGGGCGCCGCAUGGCGCUAUGGGUAAAGCUCCGGCGGAUGGGGAUGGGCAUGCGUGCCAUUAGCUAGUUGGGGCGGUAACGGCGCACCAAGGCGACGAUGGCUAGGGGGUCUGAGAGGAUGGUCCCCCACACUGGUACUGAGACACGGACCAGACUCCUACGGGGGGCAGCAGUGAGGAAUAUUGCGCAAUGGGGGAAACCCUGACGCAGCGACGCCGCGUGAGCCGAAGAAGGCCUUAGGGUUGUAAAGCUCUGUUUUAGGGGACGAAUGUCACGAUCAGUAAUAUGGGUUGUGAAUGACGGUACCCUAAGAGGAAGCCCCGGCUAACUACGUGCCAGCAGCGGC